CAGUAGCCGCGGUAAAACGGAGGGGGCUAGCGUUGUUCGGAAUUACUGGGCGUAAAGCGCACGUAAGCGGCUUGGUAAGUUAGAGGUGAAAGCCCGGAGCUCAACUCCGGAAUUGCCUUUAAGACUGCCGAGCUAGUAGGUGAGAGAGGUAAGUGGAAUUCCGAGUGUAGAGGUGAAAUUCGUAGAUAUUCGGAAGAACACCAGUGGCGAAGGCGGCUUACUGGCUCAUUCUAGACGCUGAGGUGCGAAAGCGUGGGGAGCAAACAGGAUUAGAUACCCCAGUAGUCCCUGUCUCUUAUAC
rnacentral:rRNA from 1 species